rnacentral:rRNA from 1 species
UCUGGUUGAUCCUGCCAGUAGUCAUAUGCUUGUCUCAAAGAUUAAGCCAUGCAUGUCUAAGUAUAAGCAAUUUAUACAGUGAAACUGCGAAUGGCUCAUUAAAUCAGUUAUCGUUUAUUUGAUAGUUCCUUUACUACAUGGUAUAACUGUGGUAAUUCUAGAGCUAAUACAUGCUUAAAAUCUCGACCCUUUGGAAGAGAUGUAUUUAUUAGAUAAAAAAUCAAUGUCUUCGGACUCUUUGAUGAUUCAUAAUAACUUUUCGAAUCGCAUGGCCUUGUGCUGGCGAUGGUUCAUUCAAAUUUCUGCCCUAUCAACUUUCGAUGGUAGGAUAGUGGCCUACCAUGGUUUCAACGGGUAACGGGGAAUAAGGGUUCGAUUCCGGAGAGGGAGCCUGAGAAACGGCUACCACAUCCAAGGAAGGCAGCAGGCGCGCAAAUUACCCAAUCCUAAUUCAGGGAGGUAGUGACAAUAAAUAACGAUACAGGGCCCAUUCGGGUCUUGUAAUUGGAAUGAGUACAAUGUAAAUACCUUAACGAGGAACAAUUGGAGGGCRAGUCUGGUA